AGAGUUUGAUCCUGGCUCAGGACGAACGCUGGCGGCACGCUUAACACAUGCAAGUCGAACGAGAGAAGAGGAGCUUGCUUUUCUGAUCUAGUGGCGGACGGGUGAGUAACACGUGAGCAAUCUGCCUUUCAGAGGGGGAUACCGAUUGGAAACGAUCGUUAAUACCGCAUAACAUAAUUGAACCGCAUGAUUUGAUUAUCAAAGAUUUAUCGCUGAAAGAUGAGCUCGCGUCUGAUUAGCUAGUUGGUAAGGUAACGGCUUACCAAGGCGACGAUCAGUAGCCGGACUGAGAGGUUGAUCGGCCACAUUGGGACUGAGACACGGCCCAGACUCCUACGGGAGGCAGCAGUGGGGAAUAUUGCACAAUGGAGGAAACCCUGAUGCAGCGAUGCCGCGUGAGGGAAGAAGGUUUUAGGAUUGUAAACCUCUGUCUUCAGGGACGAAAAAAGACGGUACCUGAGGAGGAAGCUCCGGCUAACUACGUGCCAGCAGCCGCGGUAAUACGUAGGGAGCGAGUGUUGUCCGGAAUUACUGGGUGUAAAGGGAGCGUAGGCGGGAUCGCAAGUCAGAUGUGAAAACUAUGGGCUUAACCCAUAAACUGCAUUUGAAACUGUGGUUCUUGAGUGAAGUAGAGGUAAGCGGAAUUCCUAGUGUAGCGGUGAAAUGCGUAGAUAUUAGGAGGAACAUCAGUGGCGAAGGCGGCUUACUGGGCUUUAACUGACGCUGAGGCUCGAAAGCGUGGGGAGCAAACAGGAUUAGAUACCCUGGUAGUCCACGCCGUAAACGAUGAUUACUAGGUGUGGGGGGACUGACCCCUUCCGUGCCGCAGCAAACGCAAUAAGUAAUCCACCUGGGGAGUACGACCGCAAGGUUGAAACUCAAAGGAAUUGACGGGGGCCCGCACAAGCAGUGGAGUAUGUGGAUUAACUCGAAGCAACGCGAAGAACCUUACCAGGUCUUGACAUCGUAUGCAUAGCUCAGAGAUGAGUGAAAUCUCUUCGGAGACAUAUAGACAGGUGGUGCAUGGUUGUCGUCAGCUCGUGUCGUGAGAUGUUGGGUUAAGUCCCGCAACGAGCGCAACCCUUACUGUUAGUUGCUACGCAAGAGCACUCUAGCAGGACUGCCGUUGACAAAACGGAGGAAGGUGGGGAUGACGUCAAAUCAUCAUGCCCCUUAUGACCUGGGCCUCACACGUACUACAAUGGCUGUCAACAGAGGGAAGCAAAGCCGCGAGGCGGAGCGAACCCCUAAAAGCAGUCUUAGUUCGGAUUGUAGGCUGCAACCCGCCUACAUGAAGUCGGAAUUGCUAGUAAUCGCAGAUCAGCAUGCUGCGGUGAAUACGUUCCCGGGCCUUGUACACACCGCCCGUCACGCCAUGGGAGUCGGUAACACCCGAAGCCUGUAGUCUAACCGCAAGGAGGACGCAGUCGAAGGUGGGAUUGAUGACUGGGGUGAAGUCGGAACAAGGUA
rnacentral:rRNA from 1 species